rnacentral:rRNA from 1 species
UGCCAGCCGCCGCGGUAACACGGGGGGCGCAAGCGUUAUUCGGAAUUAUUGGGCGUAAAGGGCGCGCAGGCGGUCUUGUCCGUCAGGUGUGAAAGCUCGGGGCUCAACCCCGGAAGUGCACUUGAAACAGCAAGACUUGAAUACGGUAGAGGAGAGAGGAAUUCCUGGUGUAGAGGUGAAAUUCGUAGAUAUCGGAAGGAACAUCAGUGGCGAAGGCGACUUGCUGGACUGAUACUGACGCUGAGGAGCGAAAGCGUGGGGAGCGAACGGGAUUAGAUA